rfam:Triticum aestivum genome assembly, contig: Triticum_aestivum_CS42_TGACv1_scaffold_592645_7BS
CAACUACUCCCUCUGUCCCAAAUUUCUUGUCUUAGAUUUGUUGAGAUACGGAUGUAUCUAAUACUAAAAUGUGACUUGAUACAUCCGUAUCUAGACAAAUCUAAGACAAGAAUUUUGGGACGGAGGGAGUACUUU